CGCCUGUUUAACAAAAACAUUUCUUUUUGUGUUUUUAAAAGGUAUCUUCUGCCCUAUGAUUAUAUUAAAUGGCUGCAGUAUAUUGACUGUGCAAAGGUAGCAUAGUAAUUAGUUCCUUAAUUGGGAGCUUGUAUGAAUGGAUGUAUGAGAAAUAUAUUUUAUUAAUUUUAUUAUUAAAAAUUAGAUUUUAAGUCAAAAUGCUUAAUUGUUUUUCUGGGACGAUAAGACCCUAUAGAACUUUAUAUGAUUUGUUCUAUUUACUUUUUGUUUAUAUAAUUUAUUUAGAAUUAAUUAUUUUUUGCUGGGGUGGUAAAUAAAUUUAAACUUUAUUUUUAAAGCUCAUUAUUUAUGUAGGUUAAGAUCUUCAUUGGGAAAUUAAAAGACAUAGUUACCUUAGGGAUAACAGCGUAAUCUUAAUGGGAAGUUCACAUUUAUAUUAAGUUUUGCGACCUCGAUGUUGAAUUAAGAAUAGAUUGGGAAGCAGCCUUCCUCUACUAAGUCUGUUCGACUUUUAAAUUCUUACUUGAUCUGAGUUCAGACCGG
rnacentral:rRNA from 1 species